rnacentral:misc_RNA from 1 species
CAGAGUUCAUGCCCUUACGGGUAGAUCUCCCACCCUUGAAAUAUCUACCUUUGUUGCUUUGGCAGGCCGCGGUCUCCGCUACCGGCUCCGGCUGGUGAGCGCCUGCCAGAGGACCCCAACUCUUGUGUUUAGUGUCGUCUGAGUACUAUAUAAUAAGUUA